UUUUAAAGAGAGUUUGAUCCUGGCUCAGGACGAACGCUGGCGGCGUGCCUAAUACAUGCAAGUCGAACGAACGGAGGAAGAGCUUGCUCUUCCAAAGUUAGUGGCGGACGGGUGAGUAACACGUGGGCAACCUGCCUGUAAGUUGGGGAUAACUCCGGGAAACCGGGGCUAAUACCGAAUGAUAAAGUGUGGCGCAUGCCAUGCUUUUGAAAGAUGGUUUCGGCUAUCGCUUACAGAUGGGCCCGCGGUGCAUUAGCUAGUUGGUAGGGUAAUGGCCUACCAAGGCAACGAUGCAUAGCCGACCUGAGAGGGUGAU
rnacentral:rRNA from 1 species